rnacentral:rRNA from 1 species
UACGUAGGGGGCGAGCGUUGUCCGGAAUUAUUGGGCGUAAAGAGCUUGUAGGCGGUUUGUCGCGUCUGCUGUGAAAUUUCGGGGCUCAACCCCGAACUUGCAGUGGGUACGGGCAGACUAGAGUGUGGUAGGGGAGACUGGAAUUCCUGGUGUAGCGGUGAAAUGCGCAGAUAUCAGGAGGAACACCGGUGGCGAAGGCGGGUCUCUGGGCAGUAACUGACGCUGAGGAGCGAAAGCGUGGGGAGCGAACAGG